rnacentral:rRNA from 1 species
UACGGAGGGAGCUAGCGUUGUUCGGAAUUACUGGGCGUAAAGCGCACGUAGGCGGCUUUGUAAGUUAGAGGUGAAAGCCUGGGGCUCAACCCCAGAAUUGCCUUUAAGACUGCAUCGCUUGAAUCCAGGAGAGGUGAGUGGAAUUCCGAGUGUAGAGGUGAAAUUCGUAGAUAUUAGGAAGAACACCAGUGGCGAAGGCGGCUCACUGGUCCGGUACUGACGCUGAGGUGCGAAAGCGUGGGGAGCAAACAGG